rnacentral:rRNA from 1 species
AUUGAACGCAGGCGGAAUGCUUUACACAUGCAAGUCGAACGGCAGCACGGACUUCGGUCUGGUGGCGAGUGGCGAACGGGUGAGUAAUGUAUCGGAACGUGCCCAGUCGUGGGGGAUAACGUCGUGAAAAUUACGCUAAUACCGCAUACGAUCUAUGGAUGAAAGCGGGGGAUGGCAAGACCUCGCGCGAUUGGAGCGGCCUAUAUCAGAUUAGGUAGUUGGUGGGGUAAAGGCCCACCAAGCCAACGAUCUGUAGCUGGUCUGAGAGGACGACCAGCCACACUGGAACUGAGACACGGUCCAGACUCCUACGGGAGGCAGCAGUGGGGAAUUUUGGACAAUGGGCGAAAGCCUGAUCCAGCCAUUCCGCGUGCAGGAUGAAGGCCCUCGGGUUGUAAACUGCUUUUGUACAGAACGAAAAGGUUUCUACUAAUACUAGGAGCUCAUGACGGUACUGUAAGAAUAAGCACCGGCUAACUACGUGCCAGCCGCCGCGGUAA